rnacentral:rRNA from 1 species
CGGUUGAUCCUGCCGGGCCCCCACUGCUAUCGGGGAUAGGACUAAGACAUGCUAGUGCAAGCGUCUCCCAUCUAGCCAUGGAAGGGGCGCGGCACACAGCUCAGUAACACGUGGCUAACCUGCCCUUGGGACGGGAAUACCCCCGGGAAACUGGGGCUAAUUCCCGAUAGGUGAAGACCUCUGGAAUGAGUCUUCACCCAAAAGACGCUAAGAUCAUGCUCUUAGCGUCGCCCAAGGAUGGGGCCGCGUCCGAUCAGGUAGUUGGUGAGGUAAUGGCUCACCAAGCCUUUUACCGGUGCGGGCCGUGGGAGCGGGAGCCCGGAGAUGGGCACUGAGACAAGGGCCCAGGCCCUACGGGGCGCAGCAGUCGCGAAAACUUUGCAAUACACGAAAGUGUGACAGGGCUAUCCCGAGUGCCAUCCGCUGAGGAAGGCUUUUACCCAGUAUAGAAAGCUGGGGGAAUAAGGAGAGGGCAAGUCUGGUGUCAGCCGCCGCGGUAAUACCAGCUCUCCGAGUGGUGUGGAUGUUUAUUGGGCCUAAAGCAUCCGUAGCUGGCCGAACAAGUCCCCUGUUAAAUCCACCGAAUUAAUCGUUGGAUUGCGGGGGAUACUGUUCGGCUAGGGGACGGGAGAGGCCGACGGUAUUCUCGGGGUAGGGGUGAAAUCCUAUAAUCCCGGAAAGACCACCAGUGGCGAAGGCUGUCGGCUAGAACGCGCCCGACGGUGAGGGAUGAAAGCUGGGGGAGCGAACCGGAUUAGAUACCCGGGUAGUCCCAGCUGUAAACGAUGCAGGCUAGGUGUUUGGGCGGCCACGUGCCGCUCUAGUGCCGCAGGGAAGCCGUUAAGCCUGCCGCCUGGGGAGUACGGCCGCAAGGCUGAAACUUAAAGGAAUUGGCGGGGGAGCAC